rnacentral:rRNA from 1 species
UACGUAGGGGGCAAGCGUUGUCCGGAUUUAUUGGGCGUAAAGAGCGUGUAGGCGGCCAGAUAGGUCUGCUGUGAAAACUCGAGGCUUAACCUCGAGAUGUCGGCGGAAACCAUCUGGCUAGAGUCCGGAAGAGGAGAGUGGAAUUCCUGGUGUAGCGGUGAAAUGCGCAGAUAUCAGGAAGAACACCCGUGGCGAAGGCGGUUCUCUGGGCCUUACCUGACGCUGAGGAGCGAAAGCGUGGGGAGCGAACAGG